UACGGGAGGCAGCAGUUGGGAAUAUUGCACAAUGGGCGCAAGCCUGAUGCAGCCAUGCCGCGUGUAUGAAGAAGGCCUUCGGGUUGUAAAGUACUUUCAGUCGUGAGGAAGGUGUUAAGGUUAAUAACCUUAGCAAUUGACGUUAGCGACAGAAGAAGCACCGGCUAACUCCGUGCCAGCAGCCGCGGUAAUACGGAGGGUGCGAGCGUUAAUCGGAAUUACUGGGCGUAAAGGGCACGCAGGCGGUUAAUUAAGUUGGAUGUGAAAUCCCCGGGCUUAACCUGGGAAUGGCAUUCAAGACUGGUUAGCUAGAGUCUUGUAGAGGGGGUAGAAUUCCAUGUGUAGCGGUGAAAUGCGUAGAGAUGUGGAGGAAUACCGGGUGGCGAAGGCGGCCCCUGGGACAAAGACUGACGCUCAUGUGCGAAAGCGUGGGGAGCAAACAGGAUUAGAUACC
rnacentral:rRNA from 1 species